rnacentral:rRNA from 1 species
AUGACGGACCUUCCCGUUAGCAGGUUGUCCUAUUUUGGUUUUCCUGAUCUUCGUGUCCUAUACCUAGCUGCGGAGGAGGAUGGCAACAUGACAAAAGGCAAUGACAUCAGCUCCGUUUGGCACGUGCGGAAUGAAAUCCUCCAAGACAGAAAGCCUCCGGUCGAUUCCUGCUCGGCUUCAAGCGGUUUUCUAAUGGGUUAUUUUGUGAAAGGUGAGUGCUGGUGGAGCUCCAUCGGGGAGAAGGAGGGAGGCGGGGGUGGUAGAUCCGGCGACAAGGUUGGUGGGAGGUUGCUUAUUUGA